rnacentral:lncRNA from 1 species
GGAGUUUAAUGCACUUCUCGGACUCUUCAAUGGUGGUUUCAAAGUCGUUAUCAAUUACCUUAUUCCCUUGAAGUAAUUCGACAUGACUGUCAGGGUUUGUCGAUCAUCUCCACUUCCUGCUACUUUUUUCAGCUGCCAUUUAGUAGCUAAAGUAGCCUGUGCUGCCUAUUGUUGAGCCAUGCAGUCUAUCCGCUGGCGUCGACGUUUCUAAUAUUUAGAUAAUGCAGUAUACAUGUUAGUGGGAGAAUUGUAACUAUACCAACGUUGGUCGCGUGGCUCAGGUGGCUUGAAGGUUUUUUGCAGUGUUCUAAAAAUC